rnacentral:rRNA from 1 species
UAGACGAAUCAUCUGGAAAGAUGAAUCAAAGAAGGUAAUAAUCCUGUAGUCGAAAAUGUUGUCUCUCUUGAGUGGAUCCUGAGUACGACGGAGCACGUGAAAUUCCGUCGGAAUCUGGGAGGACCAUCUCCUAAGGCUAAAUACUCUCUAGUGACCGAUAGUGAACCAGUACCGUGAGGGAAAGGUGAAAAGCACCCCGGGAGGGGAGUGAAAUAGAACCUGAAACCGUGUGCUUACAAGUAGUCAGAGCCCGUUAAUGGGUGAUGGCGUGCCUUUUGUAGAAUGAACCGGCGAGUUACGAUUUGAUGCAAGGUUAAGCAGUAAAUGUGGAGCCGUAGCGAAAGCGAGUCUGAAUAGGGCGUUUAGUAUUUGGUCGUAGACCCGAAACCAGGUGAUCUACCCUUGGUCAGGUUGAAGUUCAGGUAACACUGAAUGGAGGACCGAACCGACUUACGUUGAAAAGUGAGCGGAUGAACUGAGGGUAGCGGAGAAAUUCCAAUCGAACCUGGAGAUAGCUGGUUCUCUCCGAAAUAGCUUUAGGGCUAGCCUCAAGUGAUGAUUAUUGGAGGUAGAGCACUGUUUGGACGAGGGGCCCCUCUCGGGUUACCGAAUUCAGACAA